UUCAUUUUCUUUGGGUAAAUACUCAAUAGUGAAAUUACUAGAUCAUAUGGUAUUUCUAUUUUUAAGUUUUUGAGGAAACUCCAGACUGUUUUCCACAGUGGCUGCACCAGUUUGCAUUUCCACCAACAGUGCAUGAAGGUUCCUUUUUCUUCACAUCCUCGUUAACACUUGUUGUCUCUUGUUUUUUAUUUUAGCCAUUCUGACAGCUGUGAGGGGAUAUCUCCUUGUGGUCUUGAUUUGCAUUUCCCUGAUGAUUAGUGAUGUUGAGCAUCUCUUCAUGUGUCUGUUGGCCAUCCGUAUGUCUUCUUUGGAAAAAUGUCUGUUCAUGUCUUCUGCCUGUUUUUAAUUAGAUUAUUUGCUUUUUUCACGUUGAGUUGUAUAACUUCUUUACAUAUUUUGGAUAUUAACCCCUUAUUGAAUAUAUGAUUUACAAAUAUCUUCUCCCAUUUGGUGGGUUGUCUUUUUGUUUUGUUGAUGGUUUCUUUCCCUGUGAAAAAAUCUUUUUAUUUUGGUGUAGUCCCAAGAAUUUAAUUUUGCUUUUGUUGCCCUUGCCAAGGGAGAUGCAUCUAGAAAAAUGUUUGCUAUGGCUGAUGCCAAAGAAAUUACUGCCUAUGUUUUCUUCUAAGAAUUUUAUGGUUUUAGGUAUUGCACUUAGGACUUCAAUUCAUUUUGAGUUUAUUUUUGGGUAUGGUAUAAGAAAGUGAUCUAGUUUCAUUCUUUUGCUUGUAGCUGUCCAGGUUUCCUAGCACAAUUUGUGGAAGAGACUGUCUUUUUCUGAUUGUAUAUUCUUGUUUUCUUUAUUAUAGAUUAACUGACCAUACAAAUGUGGGUUUAUUUCUGGGCUUUCUGUUCUGCUCCAUGGAUCCACAUGCCCGUUUUUGUGCCAGUGCCAUACUGUUUUGAUUACUACAGCUUUGUAGUAUAUCUUGAAAUCUAGACUGUAUUUUUUCAGGAUAGAGGCUGAAUUCUAUAUUUACCUUUUUUUCAAGGCUAGCAUAGAGUCUAACAAAGGCAAUGAGAAAAUUUUCUUGAAUUGAUAGAUCAAUGGAUUUCCUCAAUUUACCAGAAUAUCCUUUGGCAGGAAAUCCUUUGUCCAAAAAGGAAGUGGUAAGAAGACAAAUUCAUAGUAGGGAUUUACUUAAAAUAAUCUUGUAAUGUAUAUUCUAAGUUUAUUAGAGAUCCAGCCAAUAAUUUAUACCUAGCUUUUGUUUUUGUGGUAUUGAAAAGGAAUUCUUGCAUACAGAAUAUAAAUUUGAAGCCCUUCAAUAUCUUAGAUCAACAAUGGAAAACAUUAUUAAUUAUUUCAUCUAUGACUAUUUAUUGUUCAGCAUGUGCUAGGCCUGUGUUAUUAGAGUCAAACAGGAAAAUAGACCAAUGUAUUUUAUUAAAAUUUUCACCAAUGACAGUAAAAUUGAGCUGGGGAAUACUGAACUUACUCAGUUAACCAGACAUGUGAUUUUGCAAGGGUUUCCUGGGAUAAUGUGGCAUAGUUCCCCAGAACAGUGAAGCUCCGACUCCGUUCAUCAUCAUGACUUGGACACUUCAAUCAACUAAUGGAAAUAAAAACCACCACACUUCCAGGAAAUCUAUUGAUUUCUGGGUCCUUUUGUUAUUCAUAACAGAGAUCAGAAAGUUUUUACACAUCCGGACAGAUUUUAUUCAUCAGUGUGUGUGUGUCAUAUGCAUGCCUAGAAGAAAGACUUGCCAGGUUUCAUCAACCAGAGCCUUUAAGGACCACGUGAGAUGUCACAUUUUCUUUUUAGGGGAAGCCUCGGUGUGUGCUGCCUUUGAUCUGAGCCUGAGAUGGCCUUGAAUUAGGGCAGAGUGGGAUGGACCACCAUUCAAAUUGCGUGGGUGAAUAUGGGGGGGGGGUCAGUGGUUACUUUGGUUUAAUAAUUUAAAGCCACAUUUUAGAAUAGUAGAAGGUGAUUUGCUUUGAAAAGCCUGUCCAGUUUGUAGAUGAGUGACAAAAUACGAAUCUCAGUGUGCCAAUAGUGUCAAUGUAUUUUGGGGUGAGAUUUGCUGCCUGGGCAAGAAAUAAGGGUAUCUCAUGCAUGGUCACGUCUCUAAAAAGUUCCACGAAAGUUUAUGUGAAAUAGGAAACGGUAGAAAAUAUUAAAGAAGCCUUUUCAAAAUAGGCUUUAGCAUACAGAUUGGAUCUUAACCUAAGUAAGUCUGGCAUCAGUCCUAUUAAAAUCAGGUUUUCCUUUUGGGUUCUAGCUAAUGAGAUGUGAACUGCAGAAAGACUAGUAAGUGUCCAAAGUCAAGUCAAACCACUUAUAGGGGUAGAUGGGGUAAAAACAAAAAAAAAUAGACAGUCUGCCAUAGGAGAAAUUUGUAUGGGACUUGGAAGGAGUGAGGUAGAGGCCAUUGUCAUGAUCAGUGGGUCACCAUUGCAGACAGAGCCCCAACUCCCUGACCUGCUGGCUGACCUUGUUGCGUGGGGCAGCAGUCAGAUCUGAACGGCUCUGGCUUCCCAUGAACCUCUUCUUCUGUCUCCAAUUUAUCCUCCCUGUCACCCAUGUCAUCAUGGCUGGAGGAAGCGGGGAGGGACAGAUGCCAUUCCCCUCUGUUCCUGGUCUCUGCCACUUCCACCCUGCUUCCCUUCCUGGGGGUUGGCCUGCUGACUUCUGGCCAAUUGUGUGCCAGGGGCAGAGGUAGCUGACUUGCACAGAUGCCUUGUCUGGCUCUCACGACGGUGGAACGGCCAUGCCCUGUAAUAAAGCCUGUAUUCCACGUCACUCAAGGCGGUGAUCUACUGCUCUGAUUGUACCCUGGCUGAAACAUGUGUUUGUUCCCUGUCUCUGAGAAGAGAAGGACUUGGAGGAAGAAGGCAGCCACUCUCCUCUGUGUCAGAGAUGACUGAACGGGAGUGUUGCUCUGGGACACAGUGAGAUAAUGGCAUUAGCCCUAAGCUGCAGUCCCUGGGAGACUUUGGGAGUGUCAGCUUUGGAAAACUUUGGAAAUAGGCAGAACUUGCUCUCUCUACAAGUGUCACAUUGCUGGAAGGUAGAAGAAUGAAACAGCUUCUCAGCAGCUCCUGAUGGGAGAUAGCUGUCGAAGAGCAGUGACCUGCGAGGCAGGAGCCCCAGCCCCCCAUCUACCACUGCGGGUGGUUAGACCUCUGGCAACUUGUCUAAUCUCUCUACCACCCAGGGAGGGAUGAAAAUAUUGGGGAAAUAGCGAUUCCUAUGUUGUUGGCUGUUCAGAUGGUUAAGCAGCCCGAUUUUUGUUUAAAUGCCAUGCAAUCCACAGUGUUACGCAAAAGUUAUUUUUAUUGAUGUGUCCAUUAAAAUAGUCAACUGCGUUCGUGUUUCUCUAUCUCUAGCAAUGCUGUGGAAGGAAAGAAAUCAAUGGGUUGGCAGUCAAAUUGUCCUCAAAACAACUCAUGAAAGCGAUGACUUUGCCACCUGGUGAGUGGCCAUCUGGUACUCUGACAGGCAUAGUAGGCAUCCCUCUGUCUCCCCCUCGUCAGGCCAGGCCCAGGUAUCAGCUAGACUGUGUACCAACAGGAAUCUGCAGGGAUCAGGAGGCAGGGAUGAACAUAAAUAGAUCCUUGUGUCGGCAGGAGAGAUCUUCACCACCUUAAAGCACCAGAAACGAUUUUUCUCACAGUCUGGCCUCACUCCUCGGCAGAAAGAAUGGGAUUUGUUAUUUUUACAUCUCUUAAGAAAUUUAAAGACCAAACUCACCAGGGCUCCUGCAUGGAAAUUUCGACCAGGACCUAUUUCUCAAAGACUCGUUCCCAUUGCGUUACCAUUUCAAAAGAGCUGAGUUCAUAAGCAUCUACUGUGCAGUCUUGAACUCAUCUCAUUUUGGAGGUGUUCUGGGAAAAGUUUGACAUUUAACGGGGAGAGCUGUGAUCGGAAGCUUUUAGGUCAGCACCCUGGAGCACGGAAUUGUUUUGGUGACUGUUUUGCAGGCAAGAUUUUGUAAAAAAAAAAAAAAAAAAUCACUCAUAUUCUUAAAGGCCCAUCUGUCCGGGGCAGGAGCAUAUUUCGCCUGUGAGGGUAGGCGCGAUGAUGUCCCAGCUGGCGUGAUAGUCACGGGAUGAGCUGUUUUCCAAAAUGCUGAGGGGGGCGGGGGGGCACACAGGGUGAGGGCAAUGGCUCCAAAGGCUUCAGGAGAAGUUGGGGAGAGGCCAGGGCCCUGGUGAGAUGCCCCUGGAGGCGGGGUGGCGAGAUGAGGGACCCAUCCCGUGAGUUUGAGGUGGCACCCUUCUCCGAACCAGAGUCCACACACUCAUACUGGGGCUCAGAUGUAGUUGUGGCCACUCCUCCAUGGUUCUGACAAGUCGGGGCUGGGGUGCUGGAGGGUCUUGAGGCCCUUGAUUGGCUGGAGGAGGGGCGGCGGGGGAUGUGGCCCGAGAGGAAGGACCAUUUUCCCUUCUUGUCCAGAGCUGCCCUGCUGAGCAGUUCCGCAGGGACAUCUAAAUCUAGGUGAGCCUGAGGCAGAAACUCUGAAGAGUUGUGUCCUCUACUUUGCUUGCGAUAGGGUCGUAGUAAGUGUUUACCAAUUGGAUUUGUUUACUCUGGUAUGAGGACGCUCCUAUGUCACCCCCCACGCCAUUGCAGUGGAUUUUAGUUUACUUCUGAUGACAGGAAUGCAGCUGGCCACCAGGUUUCCUGAUUAUUUUCCAUCACUCGAGACGCAUUUCACUUUGCAAUUUGAAAAAGCAGUUUGGUUUGGGGGGUGCGUUUCUCAUCCUGAAAUGCACAAUAUAAUGAAACAAACUUGCUUAACCUGCUGAGGAUGCACGUGAGCGGUCUGAGAUGGUGAAAAGGAGCUGGAAUAUCUCAUUUUUUCCCACCUGACCCCCCCACUGCUGACCCUCACCAGAUGGUCCCAUGGGGUGUGGGUGUAGGGGGCGACGAAGGAGGGGGAGGGAGAGGAGGAUAAAAAUGAAGAAGAAAGGAAAGAGGCAGCAAAGGAGAGGGGAGGAAAAAAUAGAUGAGAACACAGAGGGGUGGGGGCGCGUGGAUGGGAAGGGGGCAGAUACAGGUGAGUGUGACAGAGGCUACAGAGAGAAGGAUUUUGAAUGUUUCCAGCUCUGUAAAGAAAUUUAGCACACCAUACAACUCUUCUUUCUCCAAAAGCAAUCAAAUCAACAAACAAAUACACAAGAGCGUGACUCCCCCUUAGCCACACAUGGCCACUCCAAAUGCAGAGCAGAGUGGCCCAUGGCUGGGGAAGAUGAGGUAAGACAGGGCCCUGGGGCUGUGGAGGCUGUUGGCCCCUUUCCCGGGAACCUAAGACUCUCCCAGAGCCCACAGGGUGGCGGGACAGGGGACAAAAAUUCCUAUCUAGUCUCUGUGCAUUGGAGCUGGGCUCUCUGCCAAGAACGAGUUGUCUUCUCGGGCUGCUUCUUAAACAGAAUUGGGUUCUGGGACUAGUGACCCCGGGGGACGGGUGACCAGAACAUAGACCGGCUCUUGAGGAGUCCUAUGAGCAGAUGCAGAUUUGCCCAAAGUCAUCAAGCACUUACCGUGUGCCUGGCAGGGUCGCAAGUCCUCAGUGUGUUUUUAUCUCUUUGGACCUCCGCACCCCCACUCCGGGGACCCUUUGGCAGUGGCUGCUGCCCCGUGUUGAGCCCAAAUGGAGCUGAGACUGUAUUUGCCCGAUUUGGACUCUCUUGGUCCCCGAAUGGACACCAUGACCGCAGGGUUGCGGAUCUGGAAGGCAGGCUUUGGGGCUGCCUGGGGCUUGUAGCGCUUGACGUAUGCAGAUGAACCAGCAAAACGGUGUCCCGAGCAGGCUGCACACACUGUUAAGAAUCCUAACGCAGGAGUGAGCGGUCUUCUUGGCGUCGGUGGCUCACUUUGAACAGGGUUUGCCGUCAGAUUCCCGAGAGGGCAAAAUGUUAUCAGGAGAUCAAUCAACACGUCCACUCUGCUCUGGCCAAAGCAGAAAUCCCCAGUUUUGCAACAUCCUUGUUCCUUUUUCGCACGCAGGGGGAGAAGGUGGGAGCUUUGCUUAGUCUCACUCUGAUGGGAUGGGCUGUGACCGCUGGUGGUACCUGCCAUAUAAGAAAUGGCUGGGAAUGGUCAUGGAGCAUUUUCUUGAUGGUAUGACACAAGCCAAAAGACUGCCUUGGUCCACCGUCAGUCCGUUUCCGGGACACCGAUGAGCCAGACUGGGAGUCUCCAAAGGCCCUGGUUCUGAUGCUGAAUUCUGCUGGUUCCGUGGGCUACCUGCUCCUGAUUACUGGAUGCAGGGAUUCUCUCCUGUGUUCGGCUAUGAAGUCAUCUGAUAAAGCCCGGCUGCUUUACUGCCUGGCUGAUGCUGAUCUGUGGAGAGUUUUUAUUGCUUUACACGUCGGUGCUUAUCCCUCUGGGCGAUAAGAAACCAACAAGACUGUCUUGGUAGGAGGGGCCCAGAGCCACCAGCAUUGUUCUCCACCUAAACCACUGGGUGUGACAUGGGACUUUGGGUCACAGUUGGGGUCCAUGUGUUCUCUGCUUGGAGGCCAUGACCUCCUGUCCCUGGAGAUGAGGUCCUCCAGGGCAGAGGUGCAUAGAGCACUCUGGGGCAGCUGGAAAGGGGAGGCCACUGUGUUUUUUGUCCCGGGUCUUACCCCAGUGGCUGCUGGAGAGGGGCCUUGGAGGCAAGGAGAUGUGGGGCAGGUCCUGGCCAAGUGGGAAGAAGCAAAUUCACCUCCGAGGGGCCAGCCUCACCUCUCAGCCCUUCUCCUCCCCACCUUUCCCCCCUCUCUUCCCUGCUCAUCUGGGUCUCCCUCCUCCUCCUCCUUUUUUUCUGGCCUUUGUCCAACUUUCCAGGCACGUGAUUUCCGUGUGCUCCUCACCCUGUGAUAUGCCACCCUCUGUGAUAUCAGGGCCUGUUCCCCCCAGCUCCUGUGUUCUCAAGGGGCCCCUGGACCAGCCCCACUGCCAGCUGCUCUCUCCUAGCCUGUGGGCAGGCCAUUCAUUAGCCAAGAAGGCCUUCCAAGGACCCAUGGCUUCUUUGGAACUCACAACAAAACAGGUUCUGUAAGGAUUAGUGAGGCACCAGCUUUUAUGCAAUAACAGCUAAUCCCUUGUUUUCAUAACAAGGUUGGGAGAAUCUGUUUCUUGUUUCUCCAGCUUGUUUGUUGAUUCUAAAUAGCUGCAGUGCCCGUGGCAGGGAUGGUUAAACUCCAUCCAUGACUCAUUGGUACCCCUGUCUCUGCCUCACAGGUGUCACUGCUGUCCUUGGAGCAGACCGUCCUCUGAUCACUCAGCUGUCCUCGGUCCUGGAUGCAUGUGGAAAUCACCAGGAGCUUAAAAAAUUACUGAUGUCUAGUCCUGCCCCGAGGCUUCUGAUUUAAGUGGUUUGGAUGGUGGCCUGGGCAUUGAGAUUUUUAAAAUAUCUCCUGGUACUUCUCAUAUGCAACCAUGAAGAAAACCAUUGCUUUCUGUGAAUUCAGGAAAGACUGAAGGCACACACCGAAACACAUCUCAGUAGAAGUCUUCAGCGUGAAGUUUCCACCUCAGUGAUCUGAACCUUCAAUGCACACGUUGAGGCUGAGAGGCAAUUGUGAAUCCAGACAUAUUCACGGCUACACUUCAGAAGACAGUAGGAGCCCCAUGCACCCGUCUUGGCAAUCUGAGUUUGAGGUAAGUUAUGUAAUAGUGUCAACAGUCAGAUCUUGGGUGUGGGAUGGAGAGAGGAAGCUUCCAGAGUAUGUCAGUGGGCGGGUUGUUGAGGUCUAAAUCUCAAGCAGUCAUAUUAACUCACAGUUUAGCAGUAAGCAACAUGUGAGUUGGGAGCCUCAGGGAAAACUGUCGAAACAUGUGUCUGGAGUCUCCAAGUGCCACGAGGUAAUCAUUUGAAAACUUUUCACCCCCUAAAGAAACGCUCAUAGAGCUGGGAUCACAAAAGCAGACUUCUGAGAUAAAUUUGGAAAUAUUUCUUAUCUAGACCGGCAAACAAACAAACAACCAAACAAACACGAAGCCCAGGUGCACUAUGGGAUUCUAGAAGGACUUAGUUGCAGAGAUCCUUAAACCUGGAACUUUUAGGAAAUUAAUUGAGCACCAUUAAAUGUGGCUAUCUUUCCAGGGGGACUUUUUAAUGUUUAAGUCAUGGGGAGAGCUAGUUACUAAACCAGAAAGGUGGUGCUCUUUUAAGAACACCGACAAAAUCAGGAAAUUUAAGUUCUCAUCUGGGUGUUCCCAGAAGAGUCACUUAUUCUCUUUAGGUCAAAGUUUAUUCAUCUGUAAAACAAACAGGUUGGGCUAGAUCAGAGGAUAGAUUAAUCUCCCGAUUCAGCUCUAAUCAACGAGACUUCAGGGCUGAGGGGAAGUGUUCUGGGAAUGACGUCUGCCUUGGCCAGGCAGGAGCCUGUAAUUGAACGAGAACCAAGCCUUUAGCCUGGGAUCUUGGAUGUUCAGCCUCACCACUUACCCAGCUUUGUGACUGAGCUUCAAUUCCCCCACUUUCUGGUUCCCAAAUGCCACUCUGGUCUGAUGCCACAACCAACUGGGUGCAUUUAAAAAAUACUGAUUUCUGAAUUCCAAAAUUGGAAUUUCAACAGAUACAGUUCUUUAGUUCAACAGAUCCAGCUUGGAACAGGGAUCUGUGUUUCUAGAAACCUUUUCAGGUAACAGUGACUGGUAGCCUUAUUUCAAAAUCCCUGCUCUAACCAACACACACACACACACACACACACACACACACACACACUCAGGUUAUUACUCUUACACACUCCAUGUAUGUAAGGAAGUCCAUUUAAACACAGAAUUCUAAUUUGAAAAAGAGAGAAUUCCUUAGUCUCAUAAUAAAAUGAGUUUAUUCACUUAUGCCCCUAUCUCUGCUAAAGGGUUUGAAGUGCAGGAAGUCUCAGUUAGAAGUUCUUCAUCUAGGGACACCUGGGUGGCUCAGUCGGUUGAGCCUCCGACUUUGGCUCGGGUCAUGAUCUCGUGGCCCAUGGGUUCGAGCCCCGCAUUGGGCUCUGUGCUGACAGCUCAGAGCCUAGAGUCUGCUUCUGAUCCUGUGUCUCCCCUUCUGUCUGCCCCUCCCCCACUCGCUGUCUGUCUCUCUUUCUCAAAAAUAAAUAAACGUUAAAAAACAAAACAAAACAAAAAAAAGUUCUUCAUCUGACUUUCCAAAAGACUACAGGAAAGGCUUGCUUGGAGGAAUACAGUGGAGACGUCCGGCAUCUGGACAUUCCUUCUGCGUGAUGGCACACAUCUGGCUCUUUGGAAUGAGCAGGACGUUUCCUUUCCAGUUUCCCUCCAGAUGUCUGAGGAUGUGAAGAUACAGCCCAAGAGAUGUCCGCGGAAAUGCCACAUAAAGCAAGACGCUGUGCACUUAGGGAUUCUUGCAGUUUUGGGUGCAAUGUCUGAAACGAAGGAGGUUAAGAUCCUCGGCCAUGAAGAAUCCAGCACGUAUAUCUUUAGGGGACAGCAAAACAAACAAACAAACAAACAAAUCACGCCGGAGACAUGUCUGUUUCAUCAGUCAAGGACGCCUGUGGACACUAGGCGAGGGCCAAACCAAAUGCCUGCGCUCAGAAAAUACCCACUGGGCUGAGGAGGGGCAAGGGAGGAGGUGGUCAAAGAUAGCCUGGCGGCCCCUCUCCAAAACCCCAGCUUGGAAAUGCUUUGUUACAGGCAAGUGUCGGUGGCUUAGGUUCGAGUGGGUGAAACCUGGACCAAGAAGGUGGUCCUGCCGAGUGGAGGAGAUGAAAAGGUGCUGGUGCUCAGGCAAUUUCAGCGUUCUGGAGUAUUUUCUUUUAGUGCGUGCUAUUAGAAGAACUCCUGGCUGUAAGAGGCUGUGCAGAUAGGCAGAGAGCACCCUGGCUCGGCUCUCCGGGUUUUGUGCUCAGCCUUGCUGUUAACUCCCUGCAACGUGGGGGACUCACUCCACCUUCCGAGUCUGAGUCUCCGUUUCUCCUUAUCUUCUUCGGCAGAUUCCCUUUGCAAGAGGAAUUCCUGGCAGAGUUCUGCUUCUUUCCCCUCCUCCUUCUCCUUUGUCUGUAACCACGUUCUUGCUGAAUAAAUCCGUCCCUAUAUCCUCACGGACACAGGCCUGAAACCCUUUGAGAUGUACUAAUGGCAGGCAGAGUGUGUGUUUGGGGAGGGGGUGGCUGGGUAACGCUGCUGCGUGUAGAUUGCAAGGGGGACAAAAAAACCGUGCAGACAGAUGCUUUUCUCUUUCUGUUCUUCUCUGGUGGAGGUUUCCCCCAGGCUUGGCCUGGUUGGAGCAGAGCUGAGCAUCAGGACAUUCUGAGUUCAGAAGGCAAGAAGGAAAAUGCAAUCGGCAAGGAUUUUCUCUUGCUCACGCCCCAUCCUGAGUGCAGCCUGGUGGCGGGGACUGUAGUCUGAAGCAGCGCUUCCCAAAGUGUGCCCCAUCCCCUCCACCUGGUUAGCAGCCAACAUUGCCCAGAUUCAGAUUCAGGGAAGAAGUGUGGGUACAGCCGGGGUGGGGGGCAUUCUCAGUCAUGGUUCACUUCCCAGUGGAUUCUUGCUGUGUUUCUCAAUCACUUUUUUCAUUAUCACCUCCCUUAGGAGAAAAAUUAGCUUCGAUUAAAGUUCUGCCUGUUGAAGGAAAUGAAAUACUGAGAAGUAAGCUUUUGAUGGGUAGCAUUCACCUUUGGAAAGCCACAAACCGUGAUAAUAUCUGUGGUUUUUGGCCCCAGAGAAUUAAUUUGUGUCCCAUUAGGGGUGAUGUCUCCCACCUCGAGAGGGCAUGCUUUGGAGGUCCAAGCAGGUGUUUCAACAAAAUUGCCUGGUUUCCAGAGGCCAUACCUGGCGUCUCCUUCUUCUUUUCCUGGGACAGAUGGGAAACUGUCCCAGGAAAAGAAACUCAUUCCUAAUUUGCUUGGAACCUGAUCAGGUUUGUGAUAGAGAUAACAGAUAGAAGAAUUAUUAAUGUAUGGAGGGGGAUUUGGAAUAGGUUUUAAGAGGAAGGGUUCACAUUUUAGUUCUGCCUGUUGUUGGCUAGUUAACCUUAGGCAAGUUAUGUAACCUCCCUGGGCUUCACUUUCUCAAUCUGUAAAUUGGAAAUAGUAUGACCUCACCGGGUUUUUGUGACCAUUUAAUGAUAAAGUACAUGACAUGUGCUUAAGAGAGUGCCUGGCACCUAUUUAGCUUUUAUUGGAGUCCCCAUUUGUUCAUUUUCAUGAUUAAUUUUUAAUCCGAUUACCUAAUUUCAGGCAUGUGAAGUGAUAAUAAGUAAGUGUUCCCAAAUAACACUUUUAUGUUUUUG